AACGAACGUUAGCGGCGCGCCUAACACAUGCAAGUCGCACGAGAAAGGGAGCAAUCCCCGGUACAGUGGCGCACGGGUGAGUAACACGUAGGUAAUCUGCCUCCGAGUGGUGGAUAACCUUCCGAAAGGAGGGCUAAUACAGCAUGAGACCACGACCACGAGAGUGGAUGGGGUCAAAGCCGGCCUCUAUACAUAAGCUGGCGCUUGGAGAUGAGCCUGCGGCCCAUCAGCUAGUUGGUAGGGUAAUGGCCUACCAAGGCAAAGACGGGUAGCUGGUCUGAGAGGAUGAUCAGCCACACUGGAACUGAGACACGGUCCAGACUCCUACGGGAGGCAGCAGUGGGGAAUCUUGCGCAAUGGGCGAAAGCCUGACGCAGCGACGCCGCGUGGGUGACGAAGGCCUUCGGGUUGUAAAGCCCUGUGGGGGGAGGAAGGAAUAAGUAGGGUGGCGAAUAGCACACAUGAUGACGGUAUCCCCUUAGCAAGCA
rnacentral:rRNA from 1 species